CGAUUUUCUCCUCCCAGAUUUCUCUUCGUCUACUGUUCUUGUGUUCAUCAAUCCAUACGAUUCUCUCUUCCCUCCCAUCGAUUCCCUUCUUCAUUUCUCUACAAUUUCAGGUUUCGUUUCUGCUCGGAGUCAUCCCUGUCUUCAUAGCAUGGAUAUACUCAGAGUUUCUGGAGUACAAGAGGUCUUCAUUGCACUCUAAAGUGUUAUUGAGUUAGACUGUAGCAAAGCAAUACUCUGCUCGGCAAAGGAUACCUCCACCUCCUGAAACUGCAGAAAAAUCCUUCAGAGCCUUAAUCUUUGAGAGGUAUCUACUAGCUUUAGGAACAAAACUCAGAGAAGAAUCAAGCUUUGGUGAUCUUUG